GCCGAAAUAGCUCCGAAGGGGAGCGUCAGACUGAAGAUCUGAAGGUCAUUGGUUCAAUCCCGGUUUUCGGCG
rnacentral:tRNA from 1 species